rfam:Calypte anna contig30375, whole genome shotgun sequence.
AAAAAGGGCUUUUUCAAGCCCAUCAAACUUUCCUAUUAAAACCUGU